CCUCUCUCGCUCCCGGACACCUACUUCACAUUGCCCCAGAAAGUUCGGAGACUGUCCCAGUUUGCAGUGUCGGUGGUGAUGGGUGUGGUGUGUGUUGCUUUCUUAAUGCCCCCCUCCACUCUGAGCCCAACAGCUUGGUCCUAGCUAUGCCCAUGUGACUGUCACACAGAAAUUGGUGUCGGCCUACGCACUGGGUCUGCUCACCAUGGUGUUUCUACGGUAACCAGAGGAGGAGACGAUGUUUCCAUGGAGACCAGGGCCUUUAUGUUCUGAUAUGAUAUGUGCUGAUAUGUUCUAGGGACCGACAGGCUGAUAUGUUCUAGGGACCGACAGGGCUGAUAUGUUCUAGGGACCGACAGGGCUGAUAUGUUCU